AAAAAACGUUAUGCUAAGCAAAAUAAGACUGACACAGAAGGACGAGUAUUAUAUGAUUCCACUUACACAAAAUGCCUAUAAUAGGUAAAUUCAUUAGACAAUUAGAAAGUGUAUCAGAGGAGGUUGGGGGGAUGCUGAGGGAAGGGGAAAAGAAAAAAGAAAAUCAAGGGGUGGGAAGCAAAUGGCUGCAGGGUAGAAGGGGAGUGGGCUGCCGCUUGGGUGUGUGGGUGUCAGAGGGAGACAGGACAGGAGAGUCAGGUCCUGCGCGCAGGGGCCUCUGCGCUCCCGCGGGACGCAGCUGUGUUUGUCUGGGGUGGCGGCAGCGUGGCAGGAGCGAGGGGCGCCCCGACCCGUCCCCUCCGCCCUCCAAGACCCCUGCCGACUCCAGCCCGUCCCUGUCUCACCCUCUUUAUUUAACAAAGAGCGGAGAGACUGUAAAUGACCCUGAGCAGCGUCGCGGCGAGCAGGGCCCCUGGGGCACCCCACAGGCGUCAUCCUGGCCGCGUAAGCGCCGAGCUCGGGCACCGGGUGGUUUGGCGUGCUUGUGCACUUGCUCCGUUUUCUCUAAACUGCCGCGAUGAAUGUCAGUCCCCAGAGCCGGAACCGUUCCCGGUUUUCUCCACUUGGAUCUGAGAACUCUGACCCUCCAGCCCGGCGAGCUCUUUGCCAGGGUGACAGGAGGAAAUGUCCCCGCAUCCGUGCCUGCUUUCCCAGAUGGGACCCUCCAGCAGUCCCCUCCACUGCCCUUGCUUCCUCCUAACCGCUUCCCCCCAGCGACCGCGGAAGGCGCUUCCUCCCCCGCAGCGCGAGCCCCAAGCUCCUCUAGCGCCCCAGCUCUCCCCGCCCCCUCCCGACCUUGUUUCAUAUGACCCCUCCCCCGCACAUACUCAAUUUCAUCUUCCCAAGGCGCCCACUCUCCACAUCCUGAGGAAAAAAAGAACCGGCUGCUGUUCUAUGUUAUUGUCAUACUUCUUUCCUCCCGAGCACUACACAACUUGAACAACUUUUUUUUUCUUUUUUUGAGACAGGGUCUCACACUGUCGCCCAGGCUGGAGUACAGUGGCAUGAUGAUGGCUCACUGCAGCCUCGCCCUCUCUGGACUCAGGUGAUCUUCCUGCCUCAGCUUCCCAAGAAGCUGAUACUACGGUCGCGUGCCACCACUAUCGGCUAAUUUUAUUGUUAUUAUUUUUUAACCACAGGGUCUCGCUAUGUUGCCCAGGCUGGUCUCGAACCCCUAGGCUCAAGGGAUCCUCCUGCCUUAGCCUCCCAAAGCGCUGAGAUUACAGGCGUGAGCCACCGCGUCCCGUAGUAAAUACUAUUCCAAGGAAACGGCACCUGAGUUUGAGAUAAAAGAUGAAGGUUUACUGCAGGGAAGGAGCAUUGGCCCGGGUGGCCAGAGGCAAGGGUACGAACCGACCCUGCCCUUCUCCCUGCCUGGUUCCGCCUUCAGCAAAUUGUUCCACACAUCUCUGGUUUCCUCCCCACAUGAUCCCAAGGCCCUGCUGGCUCUAGCCUCUGUGAGGCUAGAAUUACAAUUCCAUUCCUCCCCAGCCACGCCCCAUCUCUUGCUCCCUGUGCUGGCGCUUUCCCCAAUCAGCCACACUUUCCUUUCCCAUUCACUGAGCCUGUGCAAAGCCCUGUCUCUUAUUCUGAAUAUCUAGAUCCUAUUCACCUUUGAAGACCCGACUUGGCCACGUUUCUUCCCAAAGCCUACUGCAUGCCCUCUGUGGGAGGAACCGCUCUGUCCUUGCAAAGCCACUGUCUGUAGCACUUUCUCUGUAUCUUACCAAUGGCAUCGCCCACUAUGCAUGGGGUGCUGUUCCAUACCUGCCCUUCUUCCAAUGCCAUCUAUGUGUCUGGCAAGACCCCAGCAUAGCACUUUGCCCACGGUAAAGGAUAUGGUUUUGGAAGUCCCAAGACCUGGGUCCACAUCCCAGCUCUGACACUAAAUGUAUUACCUUGAACAUGUCACAUAGCCUUUCUGGGCCUUAAUUUCCCCAAAUGUAAAAUGGAAAUAAUAGCUUAUUUCAUAGUGUUGCUGUGUUGAUUAGCUGAGACACUAUAUAAGAAAAUGCUUUGUGAACUGUAAAGCUAUUUACAGACAUAAAUUAUAAUAGUAAAGAUAUAUAUUAUUCA